GAUCUGAACUGUGUUGCUAGGUGAAGAUUCCAACUUCCUGGGCAGAGGGUCAUGUAGUGGAAUAGAGCUGUACCUGGCUUCAGGCGAGACUUGGAGCUCAAAACUUUCAGUAGGACAGCCAGGCGCGGUGGCUGAUGCCUGUAAUCCCAGCACUUUGGGAGGCCGAGCAACUCCAAAAUGGAAGUACUAUUGUUAUCUCCGUUUACAAAUUAGGAAACUGAGGCACAGAUAUGCUCUUGGGUACUUGUCAGCAGCAGUUGUUCUACAAGCUAAAUAUCUGGAUAUCUUAAAUCUCAGAUGAGCGUCUUAGCCUCUGGAUUACUGCUCAAUGAGGAAAGCUAUGAAAUGCAUGGAUAACUUGCUAAUCAGUAUUUGCCAUAUGUGCUAGCAGCAUCAGCAUCAGUUGGGAGAUUAUGGUGGCCUCCAUGUCAGACCUCCUAAAUCGGAAUAUCAGAGAAGGUGGCCCAGGUUACCAUGCUUCAUCUGCCAAUGCAUUGAAAACUUGGAAUGUAAAUUAAUUCAACCAUUGUGGAAGAUGGUGUAGUGAUUCCUCAAAGACCUAGAAGCAGAAAUAUCAUUUGAUCCAGAAAUCCCAUUACUGUGUAUACACCCAAAGGAAUAUAAACCAUUCUAUUACAAAGA
ensembl:lncRNA novel transcript